UUGUUUUUAUUUAUUUAAUUAGUUUUAUAAAAAAUCUGAAUAAGUUUGUAAGAGGUUUUUUAACAUUUAACAUCAUCUUUAAGUCGAAUAUUCAAAAACCUCUGUUGAUUGUUGAACUUUUCUCAACAAUCUUUAAGAUGAAAAUAAUUUUAUAUUUGUUUAUUUACUCAGUUAUUAGCACUGCUAAUGCCCACUUUUUUUUUUGUUUCAGGUUCCAAAACCUUUAACACUUUCAACAAGCGAAAAAUUAGCAAGUACAAAUUUUAGUUUGUACUCAAGGAUUUUUAAAAAUAUUAUUCUUUAGAUUUCCAAACCUAAGCCACCAAAAAAAUGAGAAAUGUAUGCCAAGAAGAUAUGUAAUUUGUAUUCAAAUGUAAUUUUGUAUUCAGAGUGUUGAAAAAAAGAAAAAAAGAGAAUAGAGUAGCAGAUAGUUGAAUGAAGAAUAUAAGAUCUUCCAGCACAAGUUAUGACACUACUGAAAAUGCCUUAAAAUUCAGAUGUUACUAUAAAGUUAGUGUACUUCAAGAUACAAUGCUUUAUGAAAUCUUAAUUAAGUUCAAUUAAAUGAUGACAAUGGCUCAUGUCAGAUUUUCUAGGUUUAUAAUUGCAAUUUGAAUUGCAAAGCAAUGAAGCUUGUGUGAUGGCAAUAAUUAACUCUUAUCAGAAAAAAAAAUUACAUAACUUAGUAUAAGACAUAUUUUCUCAAAAGAUAAAAAUUAUUUUUAUUUUGUUUAUAUUUAGGCAAUAAUUUACAUUUUUU
rnacentral:lncRNA from 1 species